ACGCUUGGAGCGACCCAUUGCGCAUAUUAGAUCGGAGAAUGUGGACGAUGAUUGGGGUGGCUGGGAUGUCACUGGUGUUGUGGAAGGAGCAAAGAUACUUGCAAAUACACUGGUACUGCUGCUGCUGGAGCUGGUCACUGUGCCUGUGGUUAACGAUAUAGUCGCUGGUGCUUGCUGCAACACUCCCACCGGAUUUUCCGUCAUAUCUGCACCUAGAAAAUGAAUUUAAUUAUUAGUUAUAAUCCCUUGCCCACAAAACAUAAGAGUGACCGAUAGAAAAGGACAAAAUCCAACCCAUGGAGAGAGAAAGAGAGCAGGCUUUGGGUUUCCCCUUUUUUCAAAGUCAAGUAAAGAAAUAACAUCUUGAACUUAGAAAAUAAAAAGAGAAGCAAUCAUGGCGUCCUUUCUCUCAAUCCCCUCCUUUUUUGCUUUUCGAUCCUUGAGCUUGUUUAUCGGCCGUGCAUCCACCGCCGAUGCGUUCAGAAUAAUCAUAAAACUCUUCCCACCCUCAUCUUUCUCUCUCCCCAGCCCCCAGAAGAGACCAAGGCCAAUAACAGACAACUGGGACGAGUCGCAUCAAAUUAAAAGGAAAAAAAUCCAGUGUAUCACAUGAGGGGAGGGACGAGUCGCAUCAAAUUAAAAGGAAAAAAACCAGUGUAUCACAUGAGGGGAGAGGGGCGAGGUUAUUCAUCUUCUAAAACUGGAAUAAAAGACAAUAAAUGAUUCAACCCCCAUGGAAAGCGUUAAAGGUUUUUCUAAUAUUGACUAAAGACUAUAGACAAUGCAUAGACUAAGUUAUAUUAAUAUUAUUACC
rnacentral:lncRNA from 1 species